UUUGGAGAAAAUAAUAGAAGAAAGCCAGAGCUCCAAUAAUUUACCCUCAUCUCGUGAAGAAGGCAGGGCUGAGACCCGAAAGCCCACACAGGGAAAACGACAUGCCUAAAAUUUUCUGCCUGUUGCGGACAGAUCAAAGAUUAGAACCCAAGCCGAAGAGGCCUCCAAGCCAAAGGAGGAUUUGUAAAUUCAUUCUUCCAGCUGCAUGGGAAGAGCAGGAAAGUCUAGAUUUGGGGCUUUGAGUUUCAGACCAGACCUCCUGCCUGAGUGUAACAUCUUUCAAUAAUUAUCAGUAUUAACAGUCAUAAUAAUAAUAGAAGCUACUAUUCAUGAA
rnacentral:lncRNA from 1 species